ensembl:lncRNA
GGAGCUCAGAGUAGAGCCGCUGCUCCUCCACAUCGAGAGGGGUCAGCUGAGGUGGCUUGGGCAUCUUUUUCGGAUGCCUCCGGAACGCCUUCCUGGGAAGGUGUUCCGGUCCCGUCCCACCGGGAGGAGACCCCGGGGAAGACCUAGGACACGCUGGAGGGACUAUGUCUCCUGGCUGGCCUGGGAACGCCUCGGUGUCCCCCCGGAAGAGCUAGAGGAAGUGUCUGGGGAGAGGGAAGUCUGGGCAUCCCUGCUUAGACUGCUGCCCCCGCGACCCGGCCCCGGAUAAGCGGAAGAAGAUGGUAUGGGUCUGCAGAAGGCAAACACACAGAGGAAGAUCAACAACCAAGUUGCCAAGGUCUGGAUCUUUGUUUGAGAGAUCAAAAUGUACCCUAUUCAAUUGGAUGAAAUUCAUCUACAGAUUUGCACAAGGGCUUAGCUUGAGGCAAAUUGAUAUGCUCAGGGAAGGGAUUACUGGAACUUCUCAAACACUCUCCAAGAUGGCAAAAACACUGAGGAGAGUCUAUCGCCACUCAAUGAAGGCAUAUGUCAGAAGAAAGGGCCAAGUCGUUGGACGACACAGGGAAUUUGUCAUGAUUGAUGAAAGCAACUUCCGUCAUAAACGAAAGAUAUGGAUUUUUCUUUCCAACUCUGCCUACAAGGCCAGCAUCCAAAGACGCAUCAUCACUGUUGACAUUGAGGCUGGGGUUUUGCAGUAUGGACGAGGAAGGGUUGCACAGACAUGGGCUCGAAGAAAGUGGGUGUUCGGGAUUCUUGGCGUUUCACAAAGAAGAAGGAGGCCCAUUCUGAGACUGGUUAAGCGUAGGUCUAGACGUCACCUGGUACCCUUAAUUGAGCGGCAUGUGUAUCCUGGAAGCCAAAUCAUCAGUGACGAAUGGCGGGCUUACAGAGGCAUACUCACCUUUGUGAACCACAGUCGAUGGUUUGUGGACGCAAGAACAGGAGGCCAUACACAAAAUCUAGAGAGAGCAUGGUCUACUUUCAAAGGGUAUGUAUGGCGGAUGAGAGGGAACAGAACUGAGUCCAUGCUAAAGGAGCACCUCUUCCUAAUUGAGUGGACUUAUUGGCUUGGCAACUGCCACAGAUACGGUCCACUUGGGAGAUUGUUGAAGGACAUUCGGCACAUGUUCCACUUAUAAGGUGUUUCAUUUGUAGAUCAUGCAUGUAAUCCUAGGGAAAUUCUUUAGCUUUGUUAGGUUCUGUUUAUGCUCGGUUUAGAUUUUGCUUUUGUUUUUUACCGUGAUCUGUUUGGUUUUGGUCCUUUGAUUUUGAAUGCAGCUUGUCCUUUUGUAUUAUUAAGUCUGUUUUCUUAAAAUACCUGUUUGUUUAAGCGACCUUUGUGUGUGCCUGUGUCCUGCUACCCCUGUUGCAUUAUGACAACCUUACUAUAAAGAUCUUACAUUUUAUUAAUCUUUAAUUAUAAUCAAACAAAUUAUUAUUGUCUGCAAGUGCAUUUAAGCUAUGAAAACAUAGUUAUGUCUUUACAGUUUACAAGGAUCACAAAGCUACUUAACUAAUAAUUAAUUAUCAGUACUUAAUAGUUUAUAACCAUUUGCAAGCUCUAUUCAACAAUUACUAAACGAAUGAAUAGUCAUGACUUUACAACAAGGAUAACACAUUACCUUAACUAAUUAUUAAUUAUCAGUAUGUUACAGUUCAUAAUCAUCUAAAAGCAUUAAUAAACUAAAGAUAACUAAGAAAUAGAUGAGUUAAGCAUUACAGACACAUUUUUAAUACAAUACAUUUCUACUUAACAGUCAUUAGGAUGAAUAAAUGAGAUCUGCAUUUUUGCACAAAUUACAUUUGGGUAAUAUUACUUUGGAGUUAAUGUAAUGCAUUUCUUUGUGAGAACAUUCAAGCAUGUUUAAAGUAUAUAUAUAUAUCAUAGAUUCUUGAAACAGCAGAAUUAUACAUGUGAUAAUUAAGCAAUACAUUAGGAGUGUAACACAUGAGUUCUUGAACUUCAUGACAUAUCAAGAAGAAAUAAUACACAGGAUUGACAACAGCUAUUAUUGUUCAUGAUGGACACAAGAAAAAGCAAGUAAGUAAGCAACAGGUCACUGAGUAACAAGUAAGGUAAUGUUCACGAAGGACUAAAGCCUGGCUUCUGUGACUGGACAGUAUUCAGCAACAAAUGACAGUAGUUGGGGGAAAGGUGUUGUUUGUUAAAGGAAUUAGGGUUAUUCUAUAUGUUGCCUUCUAAGAAAUGACUUCAUUUGAAC